GACGAACGCUGGCGGCGUGCUUAACACAUGCAAGUCGAACGGAAAGGCCCUGCGCUUGUGGGGUGCUCGAGUGGCGAACGGGUGAGUAACACGUGAGUAACCUGCCCUUGACUUUGGGAUAACUUCAGGAAACUGGGGCUAAUAUCGGAUAGGAGCUCCUGCUGCAUGGUGGGGGUUGGAAAGUUUCGGCGGUUGGGGCUGGACUCGCUGCUUCUCAGCUUGUUGGUGGGGUAGUGGCUUACCAAGCCUUUGACGGGUAGCCUGCCUGAGAGGGUGACGGGUCACAUUGGGCCUGAGGUACGGCCCAGACUCCUACGGGCGGCAGCAGUGGGGAAUAUUGCACAAUGGGCGGACGCCUGAUGCAGCAGCGCCGCGUUCGGGAUGACGGCCUUCGGGUUGUAAACCGCUUUCGCAUGUGACGAAGCGUGCGUGACGGUAAUGGGUAAAGAAGCACCGGCUAACUACGUG
rnacentral:rRNA from 1 species